rnacentral:rRNA from 1 species
UACGUAGGGUGCAAGCGUUAAUCGGAAUUACUGGGCGUAAAGCGUGCGCAGGCGGUUAUGUAAGACAGAUGUGAAAUGCCCGGGCUUAACCUGGGAACUGCAUUUGUGACUGCAUGGCUAGAGUGUGUCAGAGGGGGGUAGAAUUCCACGUGUAGCAGUGAAAUGCGUAGAUAUCGAGAGGAACACCUGCGGCGAAGGCGGGUUGCUGGGCUGAUACUGACGCUGAGGCGCGAAAGCCAGGGGAGCGAACGGGG